AGAGUUUGAUCCUGGCUCAGAUUGAACGCUGGCGGCAGGCCUAACACAUGCAAGUCGAGCGGAUGACAGGAGCUUGCUCCUGAAUUCAGCGGCGGACGGGUGAGUAAUGCCUAGGAAUCUGCCUGGUAGUGGGGGACAACGUCUCGAAAGGGACGCUAAUACCGCAUACGUCCUACGGGAGAAAGCAGGGGACCUUCGGGCCUUGCGCUAUCAGAUGAGCCUAGGUCGGAUUAGCUAGUUGGUGAGGUAAUGGCUCACCAAGGCGACGAUCCGUAACUGGUCUGAGAGGAUGAUCAGUCACACUGGAACUGAGACACGGUCCAGACUCCUACGGGAGGCAGCAGUGGGGAAUAUUGGACAAUGGGCGAAAGCCUGAUCCAGCCAUGCCGCGUGUGUGAAGAAGGUCUUCGGAUUGUAAAGCACUUUAAGUUGGGAGGAAGGGCAUUAACCUAAUACGUUAGUGUUUUGACGUUACCGACAGAAUAAGCACCGGCUAACUCUGUGCCAGCAGCCGCGGUAAUACAGAGGGUGCAAGCGUUAAUCGGAAUUACUGGGCGUAAAGCGCGCGUAGGUGGUUUGUUAAGUUGGAUGUGAAAGCCCCGGGCUCAACCUGGGAACUGCAUUCAAAACUGACAAGCUAGAGUAUGGUAGAGGGUGGUGGAAUUUCCUGUGUAGCGGUGAAAUGCGUAGAUAUAGGAAGGAACACCAGUGGCGAAGGCGACCACCUGGACUGAUACUGACACUGAGGUGCGAAAGCGUGGGGAGCAAACAGGAUUAGAUACCCUGGUAGUCCACGCCGUAAACGAUGUCAACUAGCCGUUGGGAGCCUUGAGCUCUUAGUGGCGCAGCUAACGCAUUAAGUUG
rnacentral:rRNA from 1 species